UACAGAGGUCUCGAGCGUUAGGCGGAAUCACUGGGCUUAAAGCGUGUGUAGGUGGAUCGUUAAGUACCUUGUGAAAUCCCACGGCUUAACCGUGGAACUGCUUGGUAUACUGGCGGUCUUGAGCCAGCUAGGGGCUACCGGAACAAAUGGUGGAGCGGUGAAAUGCGUAGAUAUCAUUUGGAACGCCAAUGGUGAAAACAGGUAGCUGGGGCUGUGCUGACAUGGAGACACGAAAGCCAGGGGAGCAAACGGG
rnacentral:rRNA from 1 species